GGUUAAGUGACUAAGCGUAUACGGUGGAUGCCUUGGCAGUUAGAGGCGAUGAAGGACGUGUAAGUCUGCGAAAAGCUGUGGUGAGCCGACAAAAUGCAUUUGAACCACAGAUGUCCGAAUGGGGAAACCCACCUAUUUAUAGGUAUCGUUACAUGAAUAUAUAGUGUAACGAGGCGAACGAGGGGAACUGAAACAUCUAAGUACCCUUAGGAAAAGAAAUCAACCGAGAUUCCCCUAGUAGCGGCGAGCGAACGGGGAUUAGCCCUUAAGCAAUUUUGGAUUUAGUGGAAGCCUCUGGGAAGUGGCGCGAUAAAGGGUGAUAGCCCCGUACACGAAGUGUUUGUUUUUGUGAAAUCGAGUAGGUCGGGACACGUGUUAUCUUGACUGAAUAUGGGGGGACCAUCCUCCAAGGCUAAAUACUCCUAACUGACCGAUAGUGAACCAGUACCGUGAGGGAAAGGCGAAAAGAACCCCUGUGAGGGGAGUGAAAUAGAACCUGAAACCGUAUACGUACAAGCAGUGGGAGC
rnacentral:rRNA from 1 species